rnacentral:ncRNA from 1 species
UACCUGGUUGAUGCUGCCAGUAGUCAUAUGCUUGUCUCAAAGAUUAAGCCAUGCAAGUCUAAGUACGAGCUCUCGUACAGUGAAACUGCGAAUGGCUCAUUAAAUCAGUUAUGGUUCAUUUGAUCGUACAGUUUACUUGGAUAACUGUGGUAAUUCUAGAGCUAAUACAUGCGAGAAGCGCCGACCUCGCGGGAGGCGUGCAUUUAUCAGACCAAAAACCGGCCGCGUCUUCGGGCGCGUUCGCCUUGGUGACUCUGGAUAACUUUGCGGAUCGCACGGUCUAGCACCGGCGACGGAUCAUUCAAGUGUCUGCCCUAUCAACUUUCGUCGGUACGGUAUUUGCCUACCGAGGUUCUUACGGGUGACGGGGAAUCAGGGUUCGAUUCCGGAGAGGGAGCCUGAGAAACGGCUACCACAUCCAAGGAAGGCAGCAGGCGCGCAAAUUACCCAUUCCCGACGCGGGGAGGUAGUGACGAAAAAUAACAAUGC